UACGUAGGGACCAAGCGUUGUUCGGAUUUACUAGGCGUAAAGGGCGCGUAGGCGGCAAUUCAAGUCAUCUGUGAAAUCUCCGGGCUUAACCCGGAACGGUCAGGUGAUACUGUUUUGCUAGAGUGCGGAAGGGGCAAUCGGAAUUCUCGGUGUAGCGGUGAAAUGCGUAGAUAUCGAGAGGAACACCAGAGGUGAAGACGGGUUGCUGGGCCGACACUGACGCUGACAGCGCGGAAGCCAGGGGAGCAAACGGG
rnacentral:rRNA from 1 species